CCUACGGGGUGCUGCAGUAGGGAAUAUUGCUCAAUGGGGGAAACCCUGAAGCAGCAACGCCGCGUGGAGGAUGAAGGUUUUCGGAUUGUAAACUCCUUUUGUUAGAGAAGAUAAUGACGGUAUCUAACGAAUAAGCACCGGCUAACUCCGUGCCAGCAGCCGCGGUAAUACGGAGGGUGCAAGCGUUACUCGGAAUCACUGGGCGUAAAGGGCGCGUAGGCGGGAUAGCAAGUCAGAUGUGAAAUCCUAUGGCUUAACCAUAGAACUGCAUUUGAAACUGGUAUUCUAGAGUAUGGGAGAGGUAGGUGGAAUUCUUGGUGUAGGGGUGAAAUCCGUAGAGAUAAAGAGGAAUACUAGUUGCGAAGGCGACCUGCUAGAACGUAACUGACGCUGAUGCGCGAAAGCGUGGGGAGCAAACAGGAUUAGAUACCCGGGUAGUC
rnacentral:rRNA from 1 species